rnacentral:rRNA from 1 species
UACAGAGGGCGCAAGCGUUGUUCGGAAUCACUGGGCGUAAAGGGCGUGUAGGCGGCGGGGUGUGUCCGGUGUGAAAUCCCUCGGCUCAACUGAGGAAUGGCAUUGGAAACUACCUCGCUCGAGUGCGGGAGAGGGUGGCGGAAUUUCCAGAGUAGAGGUGAAAUUCGUAGAUACUGGAAGGAACACCUGAGGCGAAGGCGGCCACCUGGCCCGUAACUGACGCCGGUACGCGAAAGCGUGGGGAGCAAACAGG